rnacentral:rRNA from 1 species
UACGAAGGGUGCAAACGUUGCUCGGAAUCAUUGGGCGUAAAGCGCACGUAGGCGGCUUCGCAAGUCGGAUGUGAAAUCCCUCGGCUCAACCAAGGACGUGCAUCCGAAACUGCGGGGCUUGAGUACUGAAGAGGAUCGCGGAAUUCCCGGUGUAGAGGUGAAAUUCGUAGAUAUCGGGAGGAACAUCAGUUGCGAAGGCGGCUCUCUGGACCAGCACUGACACUGAGGCACGAAAGCGUGGGGAGCAAACAGG